CCCUUAGAUGUUCUGGGCCGCACGCGCGCUACACUGACGAAGUCAGCGAGCAUGUCCUACGCCGACAGGUGCGGGGAAUCUUGUCAAACUUCGUCGUGAUGGGGAUUGAUUAUUGAAAUUCUUGAUCAUCAACGAGGAAUUCCUAGUAAGCGCAAGUCAGCAGCUUGCGUUGAUUACGUCCCUGCCCUUUGUACACACCGCCCGUCGCUACUACCGAUUGAAUGGUUUAGUGGGAUCUUCGGAUUGGCGCCACUGCGGCUCAGCAAUGGGCUCGGUGGAUGCCGAAAAGUUGAUCAAACUUGAUCAUUUAGAGGAAGUAAAAGUCGUAACA
rnacentral:rRNA from 1 species